AUGCGCACAAGCGUCCUCUCCCGCCGGUGGCGCGGCCUCCUCCUAUCAGGGCGCGUCCUCCGCGGCGUCGCGUUCCACAAGCUCGAAGCGGCGCUCGGCCGCGUGUCUCCCGCGGUCUCCCUCCUCGAGAUCCACGUCGCCAAGUGGGCUUGCCGCCUCCCUCCCGAGCAGCUCCGGGCCUCCCGCGUCACCUCCUUGCUGCGCGCCGCCGCGCGUCUCGCGCCCGAGGAGUUCGUCCUCGCUCUCCGGGAUGAAUCAACACGAAACACGGACGACGUCGAGCUGCCAAGCUUCCACCGUGUCACCUCGAUCGUGCUGGACGCGCUCUUCUUCUUUAAGGUGCCGGCCAGCGUCGAGUUCCCCGUGCUCGAGACAAUGUCCCUCUCGGGCUGCAUGGUCGACCUCAAAGCAUUGCUCCCCCAAUGCCCGCGCCUGCGUGUGCUCAGGAUCAAGCUGACCAAAUUUUGGACUAAGGGCAUAGACUUGACGGUCCACUCCGCGUUGCUGCAGGAGCUUGUCGUGGAGAAUAAAUGGAUGCGCAAUGUCGACAUUGUCGCCCCUUUGCUUAAGCAAAUGACGAUGUCCAUGACUUCUUUGCUUGAUAAGAACAUCUCCGUCAUGGCACCAAUGAUGCAGAAUGUCUCCUGGCAGUGCAGGUACGCCAGGGUGCUUGGGAAAACUGGUUUUGGUCCUUGGUGCCUCGCUAAGUUGCGGCUAGAGACGGCGGAGAGACAGGAACAGCCCACUUCGCUGCACAUUCAUGCCUACACCAACAAUAAAUCGUACAUUUUGCCUGUUGAUGAAGACAACUGUAAGCAGGAGAUUCAAAAGCAUAUGAUUGCUGCAUUCUCUGUUUUGAAGCUACAUCUUGAAACAGUUGGGCACGUCUUCGGGCCAUUUGUGUUUCAUCUCCUUGGGAUGAACCGGAUUGGCAGUGAUAUACACAUGCUUAGGGUCGUCCUACGGAGAUCAAAGGAGAAAAAAUCGUGCAUGGCUAAUUGUCGAUGUGAUCCCCCGAACUGGACAACCAAAACUAUCUCCUUGACUGCUCUUGAAGAAAUGGAAAUCGACGGCUUUGAAGGCGAUGAUCAUGAGUUUCAUUUCUUGAAAUUGGUAUUCAAGUCUGCGCCAAUUCUUGAAAGAGUUACUGUGAAGCUGUCACAUGAGGGCUCAUCAAGUAGUGACAUAUGCGCAAAACUACACGACAUUUUCAGGGCAUAUUCUUCCGUGGAAUGUUGUGUUUAUCUUAGCUCUGGAUUAACACACGGCAGAGCAAAUUGUUUUUCGGCAUGA
rnacentral:rRNA from 1 species